UCCCUAGUGGCUCAGUUGGUAAAGAAUAUGCUUGAGAUGCAGGAGACCCGGGUUCAAUCCCUGGCUUGGGAA
rnacentral:tRNA from 1 species